CCUUCCUGAUCUCCAGGGGCUAACAUCAAUCAGGCCUUUCCUAAGUGUCAUGCACGCUAAAGCACAUUCCACUAAGUGUGAGAUAACAUGGAGUGACAAAAACCAAGAAGGAGCAGGGUCAACUGCAGGGGAGGAAGUUGAACAGGUGAACAGCUUCCUCUCCCACUGUGCCUUAACGACUGUCGAAAGGAGAUUGUUUUUAAAGAUUGUGGCAAGUUCCGUCCCCACCUGCAGAGGAAAACUGCUGAGAGCAAGAGACUGCUAUUGAAAGACAUAGAGACCUAUAACAGUCAUGAGCCUGUUAUGCCAAUAGAUGUUAAUGAAGUG